ACUCAUCCCUUCUCUGACUUAGGAUUUGAGCAUCUUUCUGUUAUGCUGUUGCCCCACUCCUAUUGCAAUACUCCCCUUCUUAAGAAAGUUUUUCUAGACUAAUGUCUAGAUUAAACUUCUUUUCUUUGACAAUAAUGAUGCCAUGACUUGGACAAAAUGCCCAUUGCCUCUGGGUCCUGCUUUCUUCACCCAGUGCUGCCUUAUUGGACUCCUUGUGCCUCUCCUUGGCUGGGGAAAUCAGAAUACACAGUGGUAUCCCACUUCUAAGAUGCCUGAUCUGAAGGACAGUAAAACAACUGACCUUUGCCAGCAUGUAAAACACAUGGUUUAACUAGUCCUCCAGGAACAACACUGAGCAAUCCUGACCUGGGACUACUUUACUCGGCCAUCUCCUACUUGAGAUGCUCCUUGUCUCUCUGUUCAAGGACACCUUUUCUGAGCCUUUCUUGAACAAGAGUGGAGGACCGAUAGGGCGAUUAAACUGUCCUUGACACAACUUUAGAGCUUCAACUGAGAAUCUAGAAGAGAGUAGAUGGAAAAAUAUUUUUCCCUCCCCUCCAAAUGCAAGGAUAAUCUUACACGAGUCCAGGAGGAAGGUAAGUAACAUUAAAGAUACAAGAAGAUGAAUGGCUUCAGAUUUUGCCUUUUAGACUUUCAGAAGACAAAGGUUUAGAUGAAAAUCAACACAAAUCUAGGAUAAACAAAGCAAUUUCAAGGAGUGGUAAGUCCUAGAUAUGCUAAUUUUGGUCUCUGCAGGUCAUAGAAAACAGAAUUAAGACAUAGGGACUGAAAAAGAUUGUUACCUAAGUCCUUCACCUUUAAAAAUGAGAAGUAAUAAAUAAUUUAAAAUUCAAACUAAGUGGAACAUAAUUUUAAAAAAUGAACACUGUGACGAAAAAAUCAAGAGCAGUAAAGCAUCGGAAAAAAAGAAAAAA
rnacentral:lncRNA from 1 species